ensembl:lncRNA
AAUAAAGAUCUGGAGGAGAUAUUCUCUCCAUAAAUUAGGAGAUUAGGGAGACUGCAAUGCCUGUUGGAACCUGAGCAAGAUGUGAUACAUUAACUACUGUAUGUUCAUGCCCACAUUUACUGAGGAGUGAUUUUCUUGGCAAUGCAUCUAAUUUUCCUUGUUGUGGUCCACCUAAGUAGAUAAUUAAUUAUGAAAGGUACCUUUUCCUCUGGACUUGCUGACUGCACAGCCUGGCUGAAUGCCCAUCAUACUGCCUUAUCUUGCUCUUGUGUCGGAGUUCAGGCGCUAACAGGUGGUACCAGAUCGAUGCUGAGCAGUACUUCUGGGGAGGUGACACUCCGCCCUAGUACUUUGCUUACUGAUUUUCAGUUUCUCACAUGAAGCAGAAGCUAAUCAUGAUGUCUCAUCAUCAAAGUUAUUUCUCACUGGACUACUCAGAGGUGUUGUUGUCAAACCUUCCCAGCUACAUUGGUUAAUCCAUUCCAAGUGCCAGUAGUUAUCCUGAGCUCCAUGCUGACUGCUAUGACAUGAAACUUCAGAAUCUGUGCACCUCUGAUGUCAUCAGGAGCCAUUGAUGUCAGAGCGGCUUCUGCGCAGCGUGAAGGUCCGUGUCAACUCAUCACAUUACCUCUGCAUGAAAGAGAGGUUUGCCGAGCAACUUUAUCAAGAGUAACAUUAUCAAGAGCUUUCCUGCAAGCUUCUUUAUCAUAUUCACAUCCGUGUCUGCUCGACACUUGUCACUGUCAAUCAAAUCG